GACGAACGCUGGCGGCGUGCUUAACACAUGCAAGUCGAACGGAAAGGCCCUGCUUUUGUGGGGUGCUCGAGUGGCGAACGGGUGAGUAACACGUGAGUAACCUGCCCUUGACUUUGGGAUAACUUCAGGAAACUGGGGCUAAUACCGGAUAGGAGCUCCUGCUGCAUGGUGGGGGUUGGAAAGUUUCGGCGGUUGGGGAUGGACUCGCGGCUUAUCAGCUUGUUGGUGGGGUAGUGGCUUACCAAGGCUUUGACGGGUAGCCGGCCUGAGAGGGUGACCGGCCACAUUGGGACGGAGAUACGGCCCAGACUCCUACGGGAGGCAGCAGUGGGGAAUAUUGCACAGUGGGCGGAAGCCUGAUGCAGCAACGCCGCGUGCGGGAUGACGGCCUUCGGGUUGUAAACCGCUUUCGCCUGUGACGAAGCGUGAGUGACGGUAAUGGGUAAAGAAGCACCGGCUAACUACGUG
rnacentral:rRNA from 1 species